GAUUUGUUGCCAGUGCACCACAACGGGAACUCCUGGUCUCAGCUUUUCUGCUCCUUACCUAAUUUCUCCUCCUCUCCCAAACCUUUAAUGUUCAAGUGACCCAGGGCUCUUUUCUAUCCCCAUCCCCUUCCCCAUUAUUCUCACUGAAUCCUAGGGCUCCCCAAACCUAUCCAGUCACUGGUGAUUCCUUUCCUGAACUCCAGACUCCUGUUUCCAACUCCUAGUCAGUGUAUCUCCUUGGUUAGGACAUCUCCACCUCAGCAUAUUCCAAAUAACACUCCUGAUCUGGUCCCCAACAAACUUGUUCCAUUCCCAGGUUUACCCACCUUGGUAAAUUAGAGACUGUCUUUCUAAUUGCUUAGGCCAAAAACUUGAGUCAUCCUUGACAAUUUACUUUCUCUUGUACCUCGCCUGAUCUGUUAGCAAAUCCUGUGGAAUCUCUGAAAUAUACCCAGAAUCUGUACCUUUCUUCACACAUUUGCUGCUGUCGCACUAUUCUCUCUCACUUUGCUUCCCUAGAGGGUAUUCUCUGCACAGUAAUCUGAGUGAUCCCAUCAGAUAAUAUUACUUCUUACCUCAAACCCUCCAGCAGCUCCCAUCUUAUCCUGGGUAAAAGCCAAAGUCCUUAUAACAAUGAUCUCUACGGCCCUGCACAUCUGGCCACAUGCUGCCUUUUCAACAUCGAACACUAAACUCACUAUUCCAGUAAUUCUCCAGACAUGAAGCAGCCCCAGGACCUUUUCACCUGCUGUUCUGUCUGUGGAGUACUCUUCCUCUAAAAGUCACUCCUCACCUCCUUCAAGAGUUUGCUCAAAUGUCACCUCAGUGAAGCCUACCCUAUAUCCUGUCCAAAAUUGUGAAACAUUUCUCCCCAUAGCACUUUCAUCAUCUAACAUACAUGGUGCUAACCAAGGGUGAGGGAACUCUAGAAUGGACAGUAGAAGACAGAGACCUGUAUCAUUUGCUGCCUCCAGAUCAGCUGCUGGGCUGGGGGCUGUGGCUUGUACCACAUCCAGCGCUGCAGCUGCCGUGGGCACUGCAGGUUGAUGGAGCUUGGGAUACUCUGCUGACAUGCUCCGGGAUCUAAUUUUUAGAGGCCAGACUGAUGAAUUAAAUGGGAAUUGAUCUUCUUCCUUUAGGUCUUUUAAGGUACUAUUUUCUGCUUUUUGCCUCAGGAUAUUUAAAAUUUGCAGUCUUGCUCAGAGGAGAAAUGUAUGGGCAGUUUCAGAGGCUCUCACUGGUCCAUCCCUACUUUUUAUUCACAGGCCAAGGGACCAAUGUGGAUAUGUGGGUGUUCUGGCAACUUGCAAGUAUUAUCUCUUUCAAUUACACAUUCAGGGACUGGGGACAUAACCACAGGGUUAGUCUCUGGACCAAGCGGACCUACUGAAGUAGACCUGGGCUAGAAGUCCAUCUCUUACCUGGCUCUCAUCCAUAUUCACUCUACUAGGGACCAUGAUUUAUAUCACGCUGGAUAUCAUUGUCAUCUCAGACCUUGUGUUCAGCAGUUGUCAAAAUACCGGGCUAUUUCCUUUCCCCAGGGUAUAGGUUACCCAAGUAAAUACCUGCCAGUCCCUUUGUAGAAGGACUGGGGCUUGUCAUAUAGGCUUGCCAAGGUGUUGCAGGGUGCAUCUUCCUGAGGCCCUGGCCUUUCCUUCAGUUAGUGGGUUCCAAGUCUAAAGAUUAGUUUAGGUCCAGAAGCUCAUCAAAGAAUGCUGACUUUUUAUUGGCACAACUGCCGUUAGUCUCUUCACGAUCCUUCCUCUUGAUCCGUGCAUCAGAAUCACUCAGAAGGCCGUGUUAAACUACAGAUUGCUCAUCCACACAGCCAGAGUUUCUGAGUAGGUCUGGGCUGGGGCCUGAGAAUUGGUGCCUCUCACAAUUUUCCAGAUGAUGCUGAUGCUGCUGGUCAGAGACCACACUUUGAAAACACUGUACAGAUCAAUCUGGGGACUCCCCAUGAGCUCCAGCCAUUUUCCCAACCUUCUGUGCUUCAGUCACCCCCUGCUGCUCUAACCUGCUGUUCAGUGAGCAGUUUGCCCCCACCUUGCUUCGGACAGUUAAACAUUGUCACCUGGCCUCUAGGGCUCUGGGAUCUUCCCUCUCCGUGUGAAUCAAUCGUUGGAUGUAGGCUGCCCCCAGGGAGAGGACCUGUCCUUGUGCCAGGGCUCUGGGCAAUGGGGACUGGCCGGGAGCUCUCAGCUGUCAGCACUAAACAACUGGGAAAAUUGGGUGUAUGGGGCUUGAAGGGAAAAUGUGGGUGGUGCUUUUCUGACCCUACCAUGAAUCUACCAGCAUCAGCCUCACAGCCAGGACUGGGGUGACAGGAGUGAGAUUUGCCUCAGGUACAAAAUUUAAGGGGACACCAAAAGAUUAAAUAAUCAAGGUAAACAUUUUGAAGCCACAUUUCAAAAAGCAAAAUGCAAAAAAAUUCCAUGAUAAGCAAAAUUUCAGAUUUUUAAAUAAAGGCAGGAUCAGUGUUAUGGAUCUUUCUGUUUCCCUUGCAAUCUGUCUACACCCACUGGAAGUUAAGUUCUGAGAGGGCCAGGGUUUCUGUUUGCCUUACUCACUGAUGUACCCCCAAUUCUUAGAGGAGUUCCUGGCACAUACUAGAUGCUCAGUUAAUCUUUGUUGAAUGAGACAUUUAAGACCUGUAAGGGAAGCAUGACCAUUUGUCUACACUUGCCCAUUUCUCCCUCUUCUCCCAGUAUUUCUCAGUUAGUACCGACUAGACAAAAGAGGCUUCUUCAUCUUGGAGCCAGGAGAAUUGGAGGGAGCUUUGUGCCAUGGAGGGAAAGCACCUGACAAAAUAGCACAUAUUUUAUUGUUAAUGUCAAUUGUGAAGUGUGUUUAAAAGUAUUUCUUUAGUGAUUUCAUCAUCAGAUUUAAAGGAUAGAUGCAAUGCAUGUCAUUAUACUAACUAACCACAGCUAUUAGUUGUCAUCUUGUAUAAUUAUGAGAAACAGCUUUCAGAACUGCUCCUAAAAAGCUGCCCUGCCCCCAAGGAUUAGAUGGAUUUAGGAUUCCAGGACCAAAAGCAGAAGAGCAGAUCUUCAUGCAAGUGGCAAGUGUCAUGGUCAGCAGGUUCCUGUCCUCCCCUGCUUUUUAUCUCCAUGAGACAUCUGAUUAUUCCACCAGGAGCACCAAGGUUUAUGUUUCAACCAGGAAUGGCUGAAAUGGCAGACCUUUUGCACAUGACACUGGAAGAAGAUGUGACCAGAACUGCAGGGCACUAGCUCUGCUAAGAACCCUGAUUGACCAGGAAGAAAAAAAAUUAAGUCUGAAUCAUGUCCCUCAAGAGCUUGGCACACACGUGAUUUCAAUACAGUCCGUGUUCUGGAGGAAAGACGGGACUCUUGGAGCUUCAGUAAGGAACACAAAGGCCUUUGACUGCAAGGAACUCAGUCUACUGGGAGAGAUGGAUACAUCAACAGAAUCAUCGAAAUGCCUUUCCUUUAAAGCAAAGACCAUUCAGAAUCAAAGGCUCAUUUCCUGGAAAUACAGGGCUGGACGGCAGCCAUCCCUCAAAUGAGGCCCCAUGGAGAAGACUUGGAAAUGCACGCUCCCAACUCAGGUUUCCAGUGGAUGCAUAUUAAACCCCAAGGACUGGAAGCUGAGGUCAUGGAUUGCUUUCUCAUUGCUGUCAAGGGUCAGUUCAUCUUAUACUUCCUGUCAUUGUCGUCUUAGAUCAUGCAUGACUCAAUCCUUCUCAGCCCAUUUCCGCACACAGAUUUCUAAAUCUGUGGUGAAAAAAAGUCCAUUAAUAUCUCUACAUUCAAAAAGAGAUGCUAAUGAGAAGAGGGAGGAUUCCAUACCGCUAUGGAUUGGUAGUAAUAGGGGUCAAAUAAAAUAGGGCAGCAAAUCAGGAAAUGGGGUAGUAGCAGUCAUUUGAGGAAGUUAAGCAGACUGGCCAACAUCCACUUAAACGAUUUCUGUUUUUCCUUGAAACUUCAUUUGUGUAACUGAGGUGGCAGAGGGUUGUGGGGGGAGGAACAUGAGCUUUGCUACCAGAUUAAUACAAAUGGAAAUCCUUCCUCCAUUACCAGGCUCUGUGAAUUGGACAAGUUUCUUAACCCUUCUCAGCCUCAGGUCAGGGAGCAUUCCAAACUUUCAAAACUGUGGCAAGAAGCCCAGAUCACGGAUUGAGAAGUGGUUGGUACACAGAGGCACCCACUACACUGAAGAACUCAGAGUGCGCCCAGCCAUGCACUGGCCUGGUACUCACUUCGAUGGGGGCAAGGAAGGAGUCAAGACAGCCAGGAGGCUAGCAGGACCCCGGCGAGAGCAACAUUAAACUCACAUUAGCUACUUAAUUUGAUUUUGUUGUCCUUAUCAUACCUUCACUAUCAUUUCCCCCAACUUCAGGUCAAAUGAUGACCCAAAGAGAUGACCAGAUAAAAUAAUGUCAAUAAUUGUGAGGAGUUCCUGCUGUGAUGCAGCAGGUUAAGAUCUGGUGUUGCCGUAGCAGCAGCUCAGAUUUAGUCCCUGGUCCCGGAACUUCCAUACCAAAAAAAAAAAAA
ensembl:lncRNA